rnacentral:rRNA from 1 species
GAUCAUGGCUCAGGAUGAACGCUAGCUACAGGCUUAACACAUGCAAGUCGAGGGGCAGCAUGGUCUUAGCUUGCUAAGCCGAUGGNGACCGGCGCACGGGUGAGUAACACGUAUCCAACCUGCCGUCUACUCUUGGACAGCCUUCUGAAAGGAAGAUUAAUACAAGAUGGCAUCAUGAGUUCACAUGUUCACAUGAUUAAAGGUAUUCCGGUAGACGAUGGGGA